rnacentral:rRNA from 1 species
UACGAAGGGGGCUAGCGUUGUUCGGAAUUACUGGGCGUAAAGGGCGCGCAGGCGGCCCUCCAAGUCAGGCGUGAAAGCCCCGGGCUCAACCCGGGAACAGCGCUUGAGACUGCUGGUCUUGAGUCAGGGAGAGGUUGAUGGAAUUCCAGGUGUAGCGGUGAAAUGCGUAGAUAUCUGGAAGAACACCGGUGGCGAAGGCGGUCAACUGGCCCUGAACUGACGCUCAGGCACGAAAGCGUGGGGAUCAAACAGG